rnacentral:rRNA from 1 species
UACGGAGGGAGCUAGCGUUAUUCGGAAUUACUGGGCGUAAAGCGCACGUAGGCGGCUUUGUAAGUAAGAGGUGAAAGCCCAGAGCUCAACUCUGGAAUUGCCUUUUAGACUGCAUCGCUUGAAUCAUGGAGAGGUCAGUGGAAUUCCGAGUGUAGAGGUGAAAUUCGUAGAUAUUCGGAAGAACACCAGUGGCGAAGGCGACUGACUGGACAAGUAUUGACGCUGAGGUGCGAAAGCGUGGGGAGCAAACAGG